rnacentral:rRNA from 1 species
GAUGAACGCUGGCGGCGUGCCUAAUACAUGCAAGUCGAGCGAACGGACGAGAAGCUUGCUUCUCUGAUGUUAGCGGCGGACGGGUGAGUAACACGUGGAUAACCUACCUAUAAGACUGGGAUAACUUCGGGAAACCGUAGCUAAUACCGGAUAAUAUUUUGAACCGCAUGGUUCAAAAGUGAAAGACGGUCUUGCUGUCACUUAUAGAUGGAUCCGCGCUGCAUUAGCUAGUUGGUAAGGUAACGGCUUACCAAGGCAACGAUCCAUAGCCGACCUGAGAGGGUGAUCGGCCACACUGGAACUGAGACACGGUCCAGACUCCUACGGGAGGCAGCAGUAGGGAAUCUUCCGCAAUGGGCGAAAGCCUGACGGAGCAACGCCGCGUGAGUGAUGAAGGUCUUCGGAUCGUAAAACUCUGUUAUUAGGGAAGAACAUAUGUGUAAGUAACUGUGCACAUCUUGACGGUACCUAAUCAGAAAGCCACGGCUAACUACGUG